AUCAAAUGGUGUACGGCUGUAUACCACUGAAGAAGACGAAGUAAGUUGUGAAUCAUGGAGGCUGUUAGCAAGUGAGACAGGUGAAUUGGUUGAAGUUGUUGACUACCUUGAGACCAAGUCAGUGGUGAACCCCAAAGAAAUAGCUCUUGCAAAAAGAGAGGAAAUGAAAAAGAAGGGAGAGAUCAAGAGCCCUGGAAAAAAGCCAGGAAGAAAAAG